rnacentral:rRNA from 1 species
CGGUGUUUAACUGGCGUGAUGUGGGACGUCCUACCGGGGGGCUUAGCCUCGCGAGGGGCGGCCCAACUAAUAUCCCGUCGCGGUGCUCUUUACUGAGUGUCGAGUCGGGCCGGUACGUUUACUUGAACAAAUUAGAGUGCUUAAAGCAGGCUAUCCUCGCCUGAAUACUGCGUGCAUGGAAUAAUGGAAUAGGACCUCUGUUCUAUUUUGUUGGUUUUCGGAACCCCGAGGUAAUGAUUAAUAGGGACAGAUGGGGGCAUUCGUAUUGCGACGUAGAGGUGAAAUUCUUGGAUCGUCGCAAGACGGACAGAAGCGAAAGCAUUUGCCAAAAAUGUUUUCAUUAAUCAAGAACGAAAGUUAGAGGUUCGAAGGCGAUCAGAUACCGCCCUAGUUCUAACCAUAAACGAUGCCAGCUAGCGAUCCGCCGAAGUUCCUCCGAUGACUCGGCGGGCAGCUUCCGGGAAACCAAAGCUUUUGGGUUCCGGGGGAAGUAUGGUUGCAAAGCUGAAACUUAAAGGAAUUGACGGAAGGGCACCACCAGGAGUGGAGCCUGCGGCUUAAUUUGACUCAACACGGGAAACCUCACCAGGCCCAGACACCGGAAGGAUUGACAGAUUGAUAGCUCUUUCUUGAUUCGGUGGGUGGUGGUGCAUGGCCGUUCUUAGUUGGUGGAGCGAUUUGUCUGGUUAAUUCCGAUAACGAACGAGACUCUAGCCUGCUAAAUAGGCGUACCUUAUGGUAUCGCGAAGGCCCCCGGCUUCGGCCGGUGGGUUUUUACUACCAACGUACAAACAAAUCUUCUUAGAGGGACAGGCGG